UGGGGAAUAUUGGACAAUGGGGGGAACCCUGAUCCAGCCAUGCCGCGUGUGUGAAGAAGGCCUUAUGGUUGUAAAUCACUUUAAGCGAGGAGGAGGGUACUGGUAUUAAUACUACCAGGUACUGGACGUUACUCGCAGAAUAAGCACCGGCUAACUCUGUGCCAGCAGCCGCGGUAAUACAGAGGGUGCGAGCGUUAAUCGGAUUUACUGGGCGUAAAGCGUGCGUAGGCGGCUAAUUGAGUCGGAUGUGAAAUCACCGAGCUUAACUUGGGAAUUGAGUUCGAUACUGGUUAGCUAGAGUGUGGGAGAGGAUGGUAGAAUUCCAGGUGUAGCGGUGAAAUGCGUAGAGAUCUGGAGGAAUACCGAUGGCGAAGGCAGCCAUCUGGCCUAACACUGACGCUGAGGUACGAAAGCAUGGGGAGCAAACAGG
rnacentral:rRNA from 1 species